GCACUCCCAUGCCUCAACGAAAAAGAACCAGCGAAAAAACCUACGAAAUAAAACCUACGAAGAAAAACAAUGAAAAAAAAGCAGGCGACUCGCACGCACGAGCGAGAGUGCCCUCGAGCGAGGCCUCCAGAUUUCGCCGCCGCUCUCGCACUUGCCGUCGCCGAUGCCUGCGCUACCUCGACGGAAGCCAUCGCAAAUCCAUCCCUUCGCCGCCGCCCUCGCGCUCGCAUCAAGGAUCGAGGACUCCAGAGUGCCCUAAAUCCCUGCGCUACCUCCGUUCGUCGCCGCCGAUCUCGUCGCUACGUCGCUCGCCACGGGCAGGGAUCGGCGUCUCGCCGGCGUGGAGCGUGGCAGGGGAGAGAAGGGUGGGUAAGAUCGGCGGGGCAGAGUUCAUCCGGAAGGACGGCGCGGUGGACGACAUGUACGGAUACCUCAACUACCUGUCCCUCGAGUAUGACUCGUCUCGGACACCAAUCCUGCUUGGGUAUUUUCAAGGUCCAUGCUUCAAAUAUAAAUAAGAUUUUGUCCUUCUAUCUGAAACUUGAUCUUCUGCUUAUGUUUGCAUUUGCUAUCGAUGAUGUGAAUUUGAGCAAAUACCCCACAACGUUUUCACUGAGUUUGGAUAGCAUAUUUUAUGUAGGUUGGUGAGAAGCGAGGCCGACUCAUAUUUGAUGAAGAAUGAUGUGCAACCAGUAAGAAGAUUAGGAUGGGUAUUCCAGUAAUCCCGUGGAUUAGUCUCUAUAGUUGUUAGCAGCCUAUAAAGCAGAGGGUAUUCCCAUUUAGAAUAUGUUCGUGUGCAUCCACGGCCCCGCCCUCUCUGAAUUGGGGAAUUUCGACCUCCUCUGGCACGCAUGCACCCACGUACUGGAGCUCAUGAUGGAGCAGCACUAAGGCUGAUGCUGAGGGGGCACAUAUGGACAGCGCCGCCUUGCGUCUCAGCAACUCUAUGGCUCGCACCUUGAUUCGUUCGCUGACCUCCUCUGGCGCGCAUGCACCCACGUACUAGAGCUUAUGAAUGAGCAGCACUAAGGCUGAUGCUGAGGGGACACAUAUGGACAGCGCUGCCUCGCGUCUCAGCAGCUCUAUGGCUCGCACCUUGAUUUGUUCGUUGCCACACGCCUCAACUGCUUGGCGACGCGCACGAUUGGUGGAGCCACCUGCCACAUGACUUCGCAGUUCGCGCCUAUUUUGGUUCUUAAGGUUCAUGGCCAUGAUUUUUUUUUGGAAUGCAAAAUUUGGUGCGAGUUCAUAUGAAUCACACAAUGCUUCGCAUAAGUUGGUGCAGAUUUAAUCGGGAACUUUGGUAAUACAAAUCCCCCUCCAUUGCCUCUUUUCAUAGUCAGUCAUCGUUUCUAUUUCGAUUUUGGUAGCUAUGCCUAUCCUUGUUAUAGAUCAUAAGGUUGUCAUCUUCACAGAUCAUGAUAUAUAAGUGAUGCAAAAUGCAGACGACCCACAAUCUAUCUGAAACUAUUUAUCUACAGUUGUGUUCUUUUUGGGGUAUCUGAACAUGUCCUAAAGAUUUUGAAGAAAUGGAUAGCCAAAACGGUGGUGUCUUUGGCCAGAUGAUUUGACCAUCAUCUAUGAUCUGGAAGAAGAACCUCUCACACAAACAUGUAUAUUUAUUUGUGAAUCCAAUCAUAACCAGAAUGUAUUUGACCUUUUACAUUUUCCGACAGAAAGUAUGAGCACCUAAAUUUCUUGGAAUUCAGUAGCUCAUGUCUUGGAUACAUAGGUAUUCCAGUCACUCUAAAUUUCUGUAUGUUUUCGCAUAUAAUUGUCAACUUUUGUACUGCGCAUGCUCCCUUAUCUGUCUUCUCCAUGUUCUCCGGCUGGAAUAUAAUUUGAGAAGAGACUAAAAGUCUGUUUUCUCCAUGUGUACCAGCUCUGGAAGAUAAUUUGGGGAAGAGACUAGAAGUCAACAAAAUGUGUAUUGUGAUUCUGGUCUAAGAACAUUUUUUCUUGUAUAGCAUGUCUUGGAUGAGAAAGGUCGUGAGAACUUCAAUGAAUACUUCAGCACUGCCAACAGAUGCUGACAAAGAUGAAAAAACAUGAGGUUGCUGACAACAUUGAGUGUGACUUGCUUUUGGUGCUACUGCUACUGAAGACAAGCUCCAGAAAAAGGUACUAGAAUGCAUUGAAAAGCUCCCACAAGCAGGAAUUAAGUUCUGUGUGCUGACUGUGACAAAAUGGAUAGCUAUCAAUAUUGGGUUCUUGAUUUUUUUUGAUCGAAUCACUGGAUGUUUCCCUGGUUGGUCUUAUGGUGAGGAUCAGAUAGUUCUCUUUGAUGAUGAUGGCACCAACACAGAAGAUGCAGCUUGCGGAUCCCACGGCAGGACUCGGAUGAUGACGAUGAACCUGACUACCUAUUGCAAUCUGAACACCUAAAGAAGUUCUUGUUCUACGGUGACAACGUCAGGCGCAAGGCGGUGGUGGAGACAUGCGCGGACGAGCACGUGCAGAAGCGAACGGUGCUCCACGGCUGCUGCUGUGUCAUCGGAUAUUAGGUGAGAGUGCGGAAGAAAUAAAGGUUGCAUAUGACAUGCACGAGAGGAAAUCAGAGAUGGCUCGGCGAUCCCAAGGCAACAUCGAUAUGCAGCAUAUAGCCAGGACGUCUGGGGUAGUAUCAGAAACGACCGCGUAAAGGGCCUAAACAGUAAGCAAAAAAUCUGCUUGUCAAACAAGCAUACAUAAUCAUGUUCUAUAUGAGUUUUUGGAUUAGUAACCUGUCAUGUGCAAUUAAGAAAAUAGCAGCAACAAUGGUAAAAAGAUUAAGAGAAAAUAUGUUUUUGCAAUUGGGACAAUCAUGUCAAAUACUGAGAAAAUCUGGUUGCGCAAUCGGGAUAUGAUCAGGUCAAAAAUAAUAUUAACAAUAUGUAGUGCUUAGUUUAUUUUUAUAUUUGGAGACCCUUGAAAAGAAUAGAAAAGAAAUGAUUAGAUGUUUCCAUGCUAGAUCUAUUUUAUUUGUUUCACUACUGCAACAGUAACAUGGAAUGAAUAGCAAAGAGUAUGAGCAAAUUUGAUUUACAGAAACCGGCAAAAAAGAUCUUGAAUUAGGGAAGUAAUAAUGCUUAAUUUAUUUUUAUAUUUGGAAACCCUUGAAAACAAUAGAAAAGAAAUGAUUAGAUGUUAACACCCUAGAUCCAUUUUAUUCGUUUCACUAUUGCAACAGUAACAUGGAAUGAGCAAGAAAGAGUAUGACGCUGCGUUUGGAUGUCUCCAUUGGUGCCCAGGAAAUGGAUUUGAGGGCUACCCCUUCGAAUUGGACUGAAAUGGCCAACCUCCCGCAAAACGUACCUGUUCGAGCCCGCUACCAGAAAAUAAAAGAGAGAAAGGAGCGAGAGGGCGACCUCGCGAUGACCUAGCAGGUAGCGGGCGGGUGGCCGCGGCGACCUAGGAGGUGGGUGGCGGCGGCGACCACCAUGGAGUCCGACGGCGUCAAGGAUGCUCUCCUCCCCGGUCCUUUCCCUCUUUCCCAACUCCUCUUCUCCGCCCCACCGAGCCACACCCCGCCAUGGAGGUCGGCGGCGGCCCAGGACCGGCGCGCUCCGCUCCCAUAUGCCACUCCGUGUUGUCCUUCCCGGCCACCAUGCCCCGCCCUCCUCGGCCACGCCCCACCAUCCUCUGCCCCUCUUCUGCUCCAUGACCGAAAGAGCUGCUGCUCCUCUUCUGCUACAUGGCUGAAGGAGAUGCAUUGCUAGAAUAUUUGUUAUUUUACUGCUAUUUCAUUUAAUUAUAG